rnacentral:rRNA from 1 species
UCAAAUCAGCACGGCCCUUAUGUCCAGGGCUACACACGUGUUACAAUGGCCGGUACAGAGGGCAGCUACCUGGUGACAGGAUGCCAAUCUCAAAAGCCGGUCUCAGUUCGGAUUGGAGUCUGCAACCCGACUCCAUGAAGUUGGAAUCGCUAGUAAUCGCGCAUCAGCCAUGGCGCGGUGAAUACGUUCCCGGGCCU